UCAUAAGAAAAUUCUUAGAAGAAAACUAGUGUUAUAAGGAUAGAAGACUUCGUGGAAUUGUUCAUUGUUACAUCACAGAUGAGGGGGCUUAGGCCACAGCAGAAGACUUAAGAUUGCCAAAGCUAAUGUCCUGAUUUCCAACAGCAACUUCUUCAUAGUAGGCAGUGAUGGUUCAAGUCUUAGGAUGGGAUGUGGGACAUAGCUCCAAAAACAGCCUUCACCUCCCUCCUACCCCUACCUCCUACCCCACUCCCCCAGGAAAAGCCUGGGAUUCCUAACCCAGCAGGAGCUAAAGUGUGGCUCUCUUGCCACCUCUUCCUGCUUCCUCUUACUGACCUCUCACUUGUCCUACAUCAGUACAAUUAUCUGUGGUCAUAACUACUUCUCAUGAAACUUUCAUAUCUUCUCCCAGCUCCCACCAAUUCUUUUGUUGCCAAUAAAUCCCCUUCCUAAUU